rnacentral:sRNA from 12 species
UGCCUAAGUUCUUAAUAGAAUAUGGCACAAGCAACCGUUCAGGGUAUCAAGCUCCUCGUCAGAGCACUCUGAACGGUCAUAUCCCGAAAGGUGUAUGGGUAGCGAAAGCUAUC